rnacentral:lncRNA from 1 species
CAACACUCAAACAAAAACAGUCAUCUCAGGCAGAAACAGACUCAGGAAGCGGGAUUCCUGACACUCUUCAUGAGUAGCGACACAUGCGAAGACUUGGUGGCUGCAUGCGGCGUGUUCCUGUAGGAUAGCAGGAAGCUGUUCAAGCAUUGGUGCAGUGUCCUUUGAACUUGAGGCGCUUUUAAGACCCGUUUCAUGGUCUGUACGAACCUCUCCGCCAGCCCGUUGGUAGAUGAAUGAUAUGGUCUGGACCUGAUGUUCUGUACUCCAUUCACCUGUAGGGACUUGGCCAUUUCUCUAGUUGCGGUCCGUUGUCGCUAACGAGUCGGAUGUCCACUUGGAGUGACCUUGGCUUGACCACAGGUAGUGGUAACCUGGAGAGUCCAUCUGUGUUGCAGUGUCGUAGGGGUGUACUGACAACAACAAAGCCCACAUUUUGCUUUCAGCAAGUGAAGGAAUCAGAGUGUGCGGUCCAAAGAUGCUCGUCAGCGGAUGAUCUGACACAACUGCUCCCACACCAUAAGGAUUAGCAUCACAAGCUAGUUGGAUGGGCGAUGAUGGCUUGAAGUGUGUCUGCUUCAGAUCUCGCGAGUGUUUCCUUGGUUUUCACGAAUGCCUCCUCGUAUUGUUCUGUCCAUUUCCAUGUUUUGUCCUGAUGAAGCAAUGGAUGCAGCGGCUUCAGCUUCGUUGUUAAUCUUGGAAUGAAGCAUCAGUAGUAAUUCAGUAACCCCAGGAAAGAACAUAGUAGGCUGGAGUACUUUUGUCUCGGUGCUCUCAACGAAUCAUCUGAGGGUGAUUCGUUGACCAGCCAUCAUUAACGUAGAGCACUGAAUUGAUUCACUUUAUAUGUGUGUGUUGUAUUGACCUGCUCCCUUAUUAAUAAGUGAAUAAAGAUUUAGUUUAAGUAUAA